AUACCCUAUUAUUUUUAUUGUAAAAUGUUUAAACUGGAGUACUAUUAGUUAUGAUCUUGAAACUUAAAGAAUUUGGCGGUAUUAUAGUCUAUUUAGAGGAAUCUGUUAAGUGAUCGAUAAUCCGCGUUGAACCUUACUUAUAUUAUUUCUUGUAUACCGCUGUUUAGAAAAUAUUUUUAGAUUAAUUUUCUUAAUAUGUUAGUAAUUAAAAUUUCAAGUCAAGGUGCAGUAAUAUAUAAGUUAGUUAAUGGAUUACAAUAAAUUUUAUUUAUCACGGAUUAUUAUUGAUAUAUAAUUUGAAGGUGGAUUUAAUUGUAAUUUUAUAAAGAUUAUUAAAAUGAUUAUUAGCUCUAUAAUAUGUACACAUCGCCC
rnacentral:rRNA from 1 species